AAGACCAGUAACGUGAUGCCUAUGUAUGAAUUCUUCUUCCGAGCGAGGAUGUUCAGCACUCCUUCCCUCCCACCACCAUCCUGGCAAAGGACCGGCACUGGAGUACCCAAAGAGAGGCGUCUCUAAUGGACCAGACAGAGUACAUCCUGUUUCAAGAGAUGUAUUCUGGAAGAGCGUCGAGUCAUGUAGGACCAUACAAGAGAAAAGAAUACAUCUUGUGUCAAGAGAUUUGCUGUGGAAGAAAAUCGAGUCCUGUAGGACCAUCGGAGAGAAAAGGUGAGAAAUUUGCAAUCUUGUUUGUUUUCUUUAUCUUUGAAAGUGACUGAAGUUAUUGGAAAGAUAUAAUGAGAGUCAGAAGACCAAGUAGUAGGCUAAAUGGCAGAGACAGCACCUAAGAUUAGCAAGCUGCUGCCAAUAACUAGUGAUGUU